CAAGCUGUCUUAUCUCCGAUUGACUCCUUCUCAAAUACUUUUUCUUUCUUGUCAAAUCUGAACCGCUCCUUCCAAAUUAGUAUUUUUUUUCGGAAUCAAUAUCUCCCGAACGUGCCACAUUCUGGAGUCUCAUCCCGAACGCCCUUUCAACCGUGGGAUUUCAACACGAAUCAUAGAGCACGCCAGAAUAGCCAUGUCAUUUAUUUUUUCGUUCGGGAAAAUCAAGGGCCGCCGCGAACGUUUUCCUCCACACACACACGUGCCCCCACUACUCUAUCCAUUUCCCUCUCCCUCCACCUCCCCCCUCCCACUCUCCUCGCUGCGGGACGGAGGGGAGAAGCAACCAAGCGCCGACGACGAGGCGGGCUCCUCUGUACUGCCGGAGUCGCGGCACGGAGGAGAUGAGGCGGGCGGCGGCGGGGAGGAGCUCCUCCGGGACCCAGCAUCGGGAUGUGGCGCGCCGGCGACGAGGCGGGCUGAUCUGUCCUUGCCAGAAUCGCGGCGCGACGGAGAUGAGACGGGCGGGCGGCGGCGAGAAGUUCCACUGGUGGUGCAGGGGCCGGAUCUGGCCGAAAUCGGGCUGAAGGCGGGGGAGUUCCCUUCGUCUCCGUGUGAAGAGAGGAGGAGCUACAUCGGCGUCGUGCGGCGGUAUUCCCCUUCAUCGCCGUGCACGAGGAGUACCCUUAGGCUCCGGCGGCGAUCAAAGAGACGGAAUCCAUGGCGGGGUUGCAGCCGCUCGCGCCGCCUGCUCGCGACGUCCGGACCAACUGGCUGCUGGCGCGCUCCGUGAUGCAGGUGCUCUUCUCGAAGCACGGCGAGCUCAAACGCCUCGACAACCUGGGUGCCUCCCUCUGCGGCGCCAGGAUCCCCUGCAGCCCGACGGCGCUGGACCUCCACUCCGGCAGCCAUAGGAGGACGUGAAGUCUUCAUGGCAAGAUUCUGCUGCACUCCACUGUGAGGCUGUUUGCUGCAUCUGCUAUUUCUUCAAGUCUAAUCUCAUUGCUGUUACGAAGGAAGAUGCCUGCUACGGCCGUGUUCGUAGCCUUGUUGAUCAGCUCCGGCUAUGGCUCCGAUUCUGAGUGAGGAGGCCAGCAGGAAGUAUAUCACUCUGCUUUUUGUGAAUGCAAUGAGCCAAUAUUCCAUUUUCCUGGCCGCCGAUCCUUCAGAUUCGGCGCUUCGACGGAAGAACAGGGGUACUACAUUUCCUUUUUCAUCUACUGUAGUUUUUCAGUGGCUCUUCUUUCAGUUAAAACUGAAUGCUAUACAUGUACAAUAUGCAUUUGACAACAGCAAUUUUUUCACUGAAGUGAAUACUCAUCAAGUAAACUGUCCAUGGGAAUUAA